rnacentral:rRNA from 1 species
GAUGAACGCUGGCGGCGUGCCUAAUACAUGCAAGUCGAGCGCUCAGACGAGGAGCUUGCUCCUCUGACGUUAGCGGCGGACGGGUGAGUAACACGUAGAUAACCUACCUAUUAGCCUGGGAUAACUUCGGGAAACCGUAGCUAAUACCGGAUAAUAUAUUGAACCACAUGGUUCAAUAGUGAAAGACGGUUUUGCUGUCCCUUAUAGAUGGAUCCGCGCCGCAUUAGCUAGUUGGUAAGGUAACGGCUUCCCAAGGCAACGAUGCGUAGCCGACCGGAGAGGGGGACCGGCCAAACUGGAACUGAGACACGGUCCAGACUCCUACGGGAGGCAGCAGUAGGGAAUUUUCGGAAAUGGGCGAAAGCUUGACGGAGCAACGCCGCGUGAGUGAUGAAGGUCUUCGGAUCGUAAAACUCUGUUAUUAGGGAAGAACAAAUGUGUAAGUAACUAUGCACGUCUUGACGGUACCUAAUCAGAAAGCCACGGCUAACUACGUG